AUUGAACGCUGGCGGCAGGCCUAACACAUGCAAGUCGAACGAGUGGCGGACGGGUGAGUAAUGUCUGGGAAACUGCCCGAUGGAGGGGGAUAACUACUGGAAACGGUAGCUAAUACCGCAUACCAUCGGAUGUGCCCAGAUGGGAUUAGCUAGUAGGUGGGGUAAAGGCUCACCUAGGCGACGAUCCCUAGCUGGUCUGAGAGGAUGACGAGACACCCUGGAACAGAGACACGGUACAGACUCAUAGGGGAGGCAGCAGUGGGGAAUAGUGCACAAGGGGCGCAAGCCUGAUGCAGCCAUGCCGCGUGUGAGAAGAACGCCUUGGGGUUGUAAAGCACUUACAGCGGGGAGGCGUUACCCGCAGAAGAAGCACCGGCUAACUCCGUGCCAGCAGCCGCGGUAAUAC
rnacentral:rRNA from 1 species